AUUGAACGCUGGCGGCAUGCCUUACACAUGCAAGUCGAACGGCAGCACGGGGCAACCUGGUGGCGAGUGGCGAACGGGUGAGUAAUGCAUCGGAACGUACCUUUCAGUGGGGGAUAACGUAGCGAAAGUUACGCUAAUACCGCAUAUUCUGUGAGCAGGAAAGCAGGGGAUCGCAAGACCUUGCGCUGAUUGAGCGGCCGAUGUCAGAUUAGCUAGUUGGGGAGGUAAAGGAUCACCAAGGCGACGAUCUGUAGCGGGUCUGAGAGGAUGAUCCGCCACACUGGAACUGAGACACGGUCCAGACUCCUACGGGAGGCAGCAGUGGGGAAUUUUGGACAAUGGGGGCAACCCUGAUCCAGCCAUGCCGCGUGAGUGAAGAAGGCCUUCGGGUUGUAAAGCUCUUUCGGCCGGGAAGAAAUCGCACGGGCUAAUACCCUGUGUGGAUGACGGUACCGGAAUAAGAAGCACCGGCUAACUACGUGCCAGCAGCCGCGGUAAAAC
rnacentral:rRNA from 1 species